rnacentral:rRNA from 1 species
AGGUUACGUCAAGACUCACGGAUAUUAACCGUAAGCUUUUCUUCUCUACUGAAAGUGCUUUACAACCCGCAGGCCUUCUUCACACACGCGGCAUUGCUGGAUCAGGCUUGCGCCCAUUGUCCAAUAUUCCCCA